AUCUACCUCAUUGUCAUUGGCUAUGUAGCAGAUUUGAGCCGUCUCUUGUUGAUCUUCCUCUUCCGAACUUGACUCCUCACUUUCACUCUAUUCAGCCAUGAAGUUGCUCUUCUUAAGUUUUCUUGCCAUCCAUUUUAAUUCCGGACAAUCUAUCUUGAAAUGCCCGGGCUUGUUACACUUAUAGCAAAUUGGUGUUUUCCUUUCCUUUUCUUUAUCCUUACCCUUUUGCUUGCUUGAGCUACCUUUGAGGAAGGAUUUUCUUUUAUAAAAUUUCUUCUUUCCUUCAUAAAUUUUCUGAAUUUUCUUGCAAGCAUAGACAUUCCUUCUUCA
rnacentral:lncRNA from 1 species